rnacentral:rRNA from 1 species
AGCGAACGCUGGCGGCAGGCCUAACACAUGCAAGUCGAACGAACCUUUCGGGGUUAGUGGCGGACGGGUGAGUAACACGUGGGAACGUGCCUUUAGGUUCGGAAUAACUCAGGGAAACUUGUGCUAAUACCGAAUGUGCCCUUCGGGGGAAAGAUUAAUCGCCUUUAGAUCGGCCCGCGUCUGAUUAGCUAGUUGGUUGAGGUAAUGGCUCGCCAAGGCGACGAUCAGUAGCUGGUCUGAGAGGAUGAUCAGCCACAUUGGGACUGAGACACGGCCCAAACUCCUACGGGAGGCAGCAGUGGGGAAUCUUGCGCAAUGGGCGAAAGCCUGACGCAGCCAUGCCGCGUGAAUGAUGAAGGUCUUAGGAUUGUAAAAUUCUUUCACCGGGGACGAUAAUGACGGUACCCGGAGAAGAAGCCCCGGCUAACUUCGUG